CCUCUCCGGCCUCCCCCUACGGGGUUCUUCUCCUCAAGCUGGAAAAGUGCUUCUAGACUCAGCUCUCACCGGCUCAAGCAACCGAGAAAGAGUCUUCCAGAGUUAUUUGGUGGUGAAACCUUCUUUCCCAGACAUCUGUCUGCAUGGGACUCCAUGUAGAAGAGGAGCUGUAUUGACUGCCUGGAAGCAAUGCCAUGGCUAGAUUCAGGUUUUAAUAUAAACUCCGUGGCUCCUGUGUGGAGCGGAUUCAGAAGAUGCAGUAACAAUUGCCAAAGCAUGUUUGUAGCCAUCUUCAGCUCAGGUUUUCUUCUGUCUGACCUGAAUGCCAGUCUUGUGAGUCCUAUCUUCAGAGAUCUCUGAAAACAGCCCAGUGUCAAAGCCAAAAUUGUACACACCAAAGGCGGUGCAGCUGAACACUCCAACGGUGAGAUUACAGUGGUCCUGCUGGUUGUACAGGGCUUCCUUGAAAACAGUGGGUUGGAAGGGCUUUGGAAAGGGUUCACUCAGCUUCACAAAAAAAGGCAGAUUUUGGUGCUGAUGGACACUUCUCAAUAGCUUCAGGUAACCCUCUUAGUCCCAUUUUUCCUGGAUAACCUUGAGGACCUAUGGUCAGGAUAUACAGACAAAGGAAGGAAG
rnacentral:lncRNA from 1 species